GACGAUAUAGCUCAGUGGUAGAGCAGGUGCUUAACAUGCACCAGGUCCUGGGUUGAAUCCCCAGUACCUCCA
rnacentral:tRNA from 1 species